UUGUGGAGGCAGGGGAUAUUUACUCUGGUUUUGGCGGGGAGGAGGGCUGGAUUUGGCGGGAGCAACGAGACGAGGGCGCCGUGGGGCUAGCUGGCGACUGGCGAUUUUCCACGCCACGCCGAUCUUCUCGCUCGCAUCGGCUAGUUGUUUAUCCUUCCCCGAUUCUCCCUGCCACGGAUUGAAGCAUGCCUUGAGUUCACACCUUCAACCAAUUUUCAAUGGCACAAUCCACUACUGACGUUUCCUUCUGAGUUCUUGAUUCUCAGAUUUUUUUUCUUUCGCAACUAGAUGGGCUCACAAUCUUGAAAAAAAUUUGCCGGUAGACUGAGAGCUCUCCCCUUCCCUGAGAGCCGGCUGCCACUCCGGCGCCGGCGGCCACCGUCCCCGUCGGUCGCCACUCCGGGGCCGACGUCCACCUCCUUCCUCGGGUGCCCUUCUUCCCCAGGCGCCCCCCUUCCCCCUCUGCCGCCGUGAUGGUCUCGCGGGUCUCCCUCUCUGGGUUGUCGGCGCCCUCCAGUCCCACUCCCUCGUCGCGCCCCCUACUUCGCUCGAUGGUCGUCGUCCCAGAUGUCCUCUGUACGGCGUUUGGGCCAAUCUCGCAGGGGGCGGCCAGGGGCUCUCGUCCGCCGCCGCCGGCCGCAGCUCCUGGCUGGCAAUCCAGGCGCGGUCGUCGCCCAAGGAGCCCCGUCUCUCCACCGCCGCCGGCCCAGCGGCGCCGCCAGGCUUGACUCUCCCCUCCUCCAGGCCGCCGCGGAUGAACAUCCCGGCUUGUCUCCAUGGAUGUUGUUACAGUUGCGGGGAUGAGAAGCACAUCUUCAGGUAUUGCUGGAAGAAGAUGGUGUGCGUGUGCUGUGGUGGCGAGGGCCACAUCGCCAGGAACUGCACGGAGCCGAGGGGCUCCUCGUCCGGUGGUGGGCGGGGGCGCGUUGCGGGUCUGCCAGCUCCGGUGGUUCCCCCUAAUUCUGGCCUCCCCCACGGCACCCUCCUCAGGCAAGAUGCUUCUUUGCGGAUGUCGGUGGAUGCUCAGAGGAGCGCGGGCAUGGCACUCCCCCCCACCUCCGCCAGGCCCCCCUCCCCCUGGUGCGGUUCGGUUGGCUCGGAGCUAGAGUCAGGUCGCGCGGAGCUCGUCGGCGGCGAGCGUGGUUGGGCCGGAUUUCUCUGUUCCUUUCGCCGGCUUGGUGGAGGCGGCCGCGGCGCCGGCUGUGCUGGGGGCUGAGGACCUGCUGGACUGCUGCUUCCUCGACGCUUCGGAGGACGCUCCGUGUGAACAGUAUACAGAGAACCAUUCGCAAGUAUUCAUGACAGAUUUUUCUUUUUUGCAUCUUGAUGUAUGUUUCGAAUUUUGAUCUGAAUUUUUUAGCGAUUAUCUUAAUAUGUGCUGUGAACAUGCAUGAUUUUUUUA